AUCUCACUGGAGAUCCCUGCAUAUCUGUGGUCUUUCAAAGCAGGAGUUGCAGACCUUUCAGAACGCGUGUCCUUCUUGGGAGUGAUGCUGUUGUCUACACACCCAACCACAGUUCUUGGCCCUGUGACGGACAUGUGACAUCCUGUGCAUGGAUGGCAUAGCUGCAAAUCCUCAUUUGAAACUCCUAUGGAGCUCCUGCUGCUCAAUUCGCUGAGAUUUUUUCCUUUUUCACCAAAUGCUGCCAACUCUCUUCACCUCCGCACUCUUUCCUACGUACGUGUUCUCUUUUUAUGUAUUGAUCCUGAGGAGGAAUAUAGCAUUUUAAGCCCCAAGCUGGGGAAAGUGCCAGAAGAACAGAGCCAUAAAAAAAGAGCUGGUGAUGGCAUCCUUCCCAUCCCAGGAUGACAGCAAGAACCAUUUUGACACCUAGGAUCAGAUCAGGUAUCCACUUGGUGAUCUCUUCCCACUAACUAGCUUGAAAGAGAGAUUGUUCACACUGGAAAGGGACAGGAAGGCCCCUUCAGGCCCUGCCUGAUAUAGUAGUGGAGACUGAAAGCAAAGUUCUUGCUUCCAUCAGUACCCCCUGGGACAGCUUGCAUCAGCUCUCGGCCUGGGCUGUCCUCCCACACCCUUCAUUCUCCUUGGAAAAUCUUCAUGUCACAUUUCUUCAGUCUCCAAAUGAUUUUUUUUUUUUUUUUUUAAUCCACAAGUUCACUCCAGCACCUAAAAAUCAAACCAUGUCCUCUGUGCUUCAUCUAUCAUCACUGUCCGUAUCAGUGGGAAGCUGGAGCCCAGCUGGAGCAGUUAUUGAUGUCGUGUGAGCCCAGAUGCAGCAUCUGCUGCUGUGCCCAGUCUGCCUGGUGAGCCUGAACAGACAAAACCUGGAUGUGUUGAACAAAUGCCCUCAGAGAGGAAACAAAUGUUUCUAUCAUGCAGGACAUGCCCCAGCUCAGAGAAAAGAGUUUAGGCUUAUGGAGGGGUUUUUCAUCCUCUGAGUUUUCCAAGUGGAUCCCUUGGACCAAGCUUCUGCUGCAAUGUCCCACAGCUCUGGGAAAGGGAAGGGAACCACAUAGCUUCCAGGUCACAGCAUGGCCCUGUUUUAUUGCCAGGAAGAGAGCGAGCAUCAGCAAUGGCGACUCAAACCCUCCUCUGUCCUCCGACGGAUGAUGUGGAGCAAGGACAGGAGGCGGGAAUAGCAAAUGCCCCUCCGUGCCGCCCUCCAGAGCCUGAUGUUUCAGGGGUU
ensembl:lncRNA